rnacentral:rRNA from 1 species
GAUGAACGCUGGCGGCGUGCCUAAUACAUGCAAGUCGAGCGAACAGACGAGGAGCUUGCUCCUCUGACGUUAGCGGCGGACGGGUGAGUAACACGUGGAUAACCUACCUAUAAGACUGGGAUAACUUCGGGAAACCGGAGCUAAUACCGGAUAAUAUAUUGAACCGCAUGGUUCAAUAGUGAAAGACGGUUUUGCUGUCACUUAUAGAUGGAUCCGCGCCGCAUUAGCUAGUUGGUAAGGUAACGGCUUACCAAGGCAACGAUGCGUAGCCGACCUGAGAGGGUGAUCGGCCACACUGGAACUGGGACACGGUCCAGACUCCUACAGGAGGCAGCAGUAGGGAAUCUUCCGCAAUGGGCGAAAGCCUGACGGAGCAACGCCGCGUGAGUGAUGAAGGUCUUCGGAUCGUAAAACUCUGUUAUUAGGGAAGAACAAAUGUGUAAGUAACUAUGCACGUCUUGACGGUACCUAAUCAGAAAGCCACGGCUAACUACGUG